rnacentral:rRNA from 1 species
GACGAACGCUGCCGGCGUGCCUAAUACCAUGCAAAGUAGACCGCUGAAGAAGGAGCUUGCUUCUCUGGAUGAGUUGCGAACGAGUGAGUAACGCGUAGGUAACCUGCCUGGUAGCGGGGGAUAACUAUUGGAAACGAUAGCUAAUACCGCAUAAGAGUAGAUGUUGCAUGACAUUUACUUAAAAGGUGCAAUUGCACCACUACCAGAUGGACCUGCGUUGUAUUAGCUAGUUGGUGGGGUAACGGCUCACCAAGGCGACGAUACAUAGCCGACCUGAGAGGGUGAUCGGCCACACUGGGACUGAGACACGGCCCAGACUCCUACGGGAGGCAGCAGUAGGGAAUCUUCGGCAAUGGACGGAAGUCUGACCGAGCAACGCCGCGUGAGUGAAGAAGGUUUUCGGAUCGUAAAGCUCUGUUGUAAGAGAAGAACGAGUGUGAGAGUGGAAAGUUCACACUGUGACGGUAUCUUACCAGAAAGGGACGGCU